AUUGAACGCUGGCGGCAGGCCUAACACAUGCAAGUCGAACGAGUGGCGGACGGGUGAGUAAUGUCUGGGAACUGCCCGAUGGAGGGGGAUAACUAUUGGAAACGAUAGCUAAUACCGCAUACUGUGAGAUGGACCUGCGUUGUAUUAGCUAGUUGGUGAGGUACAGGAUCACCAAGGCGACGUUACAUAGCCGACCUGAGAGGGUGAACUGCCAAACUGGGACUGAGAAACGGCCAAGAAUCCGACGGGAGGAAGCAGUAGGGAAUCUGCGGAAAUGGACGGAAGUCUGACCGAGCAACGCCGCGGGAGUGAAGAAGGGUUUCGGAUCGUAAAGCUCUGUUGUUAGAGAAGCGGUAACUAACCAGAAAGGGACGGCUAACUACGUGCCAGCCGCCGCGGUAAUAC
rnacentral:rRNA from 1 species